CCCCUAGAUGUUCUGGGCCGCACGCGCGCUACACUGAACAGUUCAACAAGUCUUAACCUUGGCCGAUAGGUCUGGGUAAUCUUUGAACGCUGUUCGUGAUUGGGAUAGACCUUUGCAAUUAUGGGUCUUCAACGAGGAAUUCCUAGUAGACGCAAGUCAUCAGCUUGCAUUGAUUACGUCCCUGCCCUUUGUACACACCGCCCGUCGCACCUACCGAUUGAAUGGUCCGGUGAAAUCUCGGGACGGCGGCUUGGUCGCUUGCGUCCGACUGCUGAAACUUGAUUAAACCAUAUCAUUUAGAGGAAGGUGAAGUCGUANCA
rnacentral:rRNA from 1 species